ACGGUGGCAGGGGCGGCCCAGAAGACCUCCGAUCUGCUGGUAACUCUCACUGAUGCACAAGUUCUGAAAUCCUCAAAUACCCGGUGAAGCAUUGAUGUGUAGCAUUUGAUCUGCUAGAAAUAAAUUACUUUUUAUGCUCCUGUUUGUUGGUUGGAUUUGAUCUGUUCAUGGGUGUCUAAAAUCCUGAUAGUUAAGCAACUGGUUUAAUAAUUCCUUUAGAUGCAGAUAGAUGGUUCUUUUGAUUUUGAAUGGAAGUUGCUGGUAGGGGAUAUUACAAUUUGAUGCUUGUUUAUUCAUUACAUAUUUUUAUUGUAAAAGGACAUGGCAUUUGUACAGAUAUGCCAUACACGCUGAUUGCAUAAUGUAGCACUAGAUCAAUAGUAAUGUAGGAAAAGAUAUAAUGGAACAUUGCAAAAAUUUAUUGUUUUGAUCAGUUUCUAUAAGCAUAGGUUUUCCAUGUUAUACACGUUGAUUGCAUAGACUGUCUAAUUCCACAUUGUUUUGCCUAUAGAAGCUAAGUCGCCCCCUCCCCUCUUGAAAUUGUCCCUGAUAGAAGACAUAGAAGCCAAUGCCAUUGAUGCUGAAACUAUGGGCACUACUAGGUAAAUAUUCUUGUUUUGCUUCAAAGAAUCCAUAAUGGUCUAAUUCUGCCUAUUGUUAAUCUGCAUUUCAACACUUAUUUUCAUUCAUUCUCAGUUCUAAAAAUGGUGCUACAAACAAGAGAAAAGGAGGUGAUAAAGGGGUAAAGUCUAGCCCAACUUCUGAAGCAUAGAAGACUUCUGCUACACAUGAUAGCGCAGCAAAGAACACAACAAGCAGAAAAUGUCCUCCGUCGAAGAGCACAAGAAGCAAAAAGAAGCCGCGAACCGUGUCGUUUAACUGAUGCAAGUACAUGUUAUUUUGUGGAGAACUAUGCAUAUGUGAACCUGGCUGUGUAGCUGAUGCAACUACAUGCAAUUUCGUGGAGCAAUAUGGAUAUGUGAACCCUGUUGUGUAGCUGAUUUACUACAUGUUAUUUUGUGGAGCACCAUGCAUAUGUGAACCUUCCUCUGUAGCUAGACCUUAUUGUACUAUGUUCAGCUUGUGUGGAGCUUUCCUUUUGAGUGGUCCAUAUGCAUGUGAGCCUUGCUGAUUAGAUUAGAUGAUAGAUUUGUACUCUUAUGAAGUAAUUUAUUGAUAUUUUGAAUUUCUUAAACUCUUUACUAUGUUGUUG
rnacentral:lncRNA from 1 species